UAAACUAGGAUUAGAUACCCUAUUAUUUUAAAUGUGAAUUAUAAUACUAAAUUAGUAUAAGUUAUGUUCUUGAAAAUUAAAAAAUUUGGCGGUGUUUUAGUCUUUUCAGAGGAACCUGUCCUGUAAUUGAUAGUCCACGAUUAAAUAAACUUUAUUUAUUAGUUUACAUAUCGUCGUAGUUUGAAUAUUUUAAUAGAAAUUAAAUGUUCUAAAUUUUAUAUUAAAAAAUAAAUCAGAUCAAGGUGUAGUUUAUAAUAAAGGAGAGAUGGGUUACAAUAAAUUUAUUUUAGGAUAAUUUUUUUUAAAAAAAUUAGAAUUUGGAUUUGAGAGUAAUUUUAAUAUAUUUAUAUAAGAUGAUUAUAGCUCUAAAAUAUGCACACAUCGCCCGUCGCUCUUAA
rnacentral:rRNA from 1 species